GGGUGAGUAACGUGUGGGUAACCUGCCCUGUACACACGGAUAACAUACCGAAAGGUAUGCUAAUACGAGAUAAAGUACUUUUAUCGCAUGGUAGAAGUAUCAAAGCUUUUGCGGUACAGGAUGGACCCGCGUCUGAUUAGCUAGUUGGUAAGGUAACGGCUUACCAAGGCGACGAUCAGUAGCCGACCUGAGAGGGUGAUCGGCCACAUUGGAACUGAGACACGGUCCAAACUCCUACGGGAGGCAGCAGUGGGGAAUAUUGCACAAUGGGCGAAAGCCUGGUGCAGCAACGCCGCGUGAGCGAUGAAGGCCUUCGGGUCGUAAAGCUCUGUCCUCAAGGAAGAUAAUGACGGUACUUGAGGAGGAAGCCCCGGCUAACUACGUGCCAGCAGCCGCGGUAAUACGUAGGGGGCUAGCGUUAUCCGGAAUUACUGGGCGUAAAGGGUGCGUAGGUGGUUUCUUAAGUCAGAGGUGAAAGGCUACGGCUCAACCGUAGUAAGCCUUUGAAACUGGGAAACUUGAGUGCAGGAGAGGAGAGUGGAAUUCCUAGUGUAGCGGUGAAAUGCGUAGAUAUUAGGAGGAACACCAGUUGCGAAGGCGGCUCUCUGGACUGUAACUGACACUGAGGCACGAAAGCGUGGGGAGCAAACAGGAUUAGAUACCCUGGUAGUCCACGCCGUAAACGAU
rnacentral:rRNA from 1 species